rnacentral:tRNA from 1 species
GCGCCGGUGGUGUAAGGCGAACACCGCUGCCCGGAAAGCAGAAGGUGCGGGUUCGAGUCCCGCCUGGCGCA